AGGCUGCGAGGCUGCAUCAGGGAGGCUGCGGGCUUGCAUCACGUCCAGCUCCCUCCCCGGGGAAUUUUACAAACGUUAAUGAAUGGGGCUGGAGCUCUGCCGUGACGCCAGCCAGCCGUGCACGGGUUUAUAGACCGAGGCCAGCAGAGAUCAUGCUCCUGCCUCUGGCGCUGCACCGCUGGGGGCAAUUUCGUGUGGGUGCCAACGCGCCCACGGCAGCCCCGUGCUCACGUGCUGGAUGUUGUGUUCACGGCAGUGACGUCCCCACAGCAGGGACACGAGCCAUGCAGAUUUGCAGGGUGACACAAAACUCCUCUUGGGACCAGGAGCUGACAGUGAUUUCUUUGUCAUCCCCCUGUUGUCGUCUCCCCGCUGCACGUCCAUUUGUUCACGGUUAGGAGGAGAUUGCUGAUGACUAAACCCCGGGUCUGCAGCACAGUGUUUGAAGGAGCGACCCAGAACUGCAGGGUUCAAGCUCGUAAGAAGAGUAAGAAGUGGGGACAGUGCAUUUCCUCACGUCUGUGAGAUCCGGAGAGCAAGCCACUCUCCCACUCCAUCCUGGCUGGGAGGGAAUUGCAUCACUGCCUUGUACAGAUAUUUAUUUUUCUCCAAAAUGCGCUUGUUUUAUUGUUUUCUUCCGAUGGAAUUUGCCAGCGGGUCCCGAAUUGUGUGGCUCUGAAAUUUAGAAGCAACAUACCUGUGUGGGGGAGAGAGAAUGAGUGGUUUUCACUCUGCAAUCUGGCUCUUCCCUCCCUCCUCCCCGUUCCCCACAUCCCCAUGUGUUACAGAGCCAGCUGCUCCCGGAAUAGUUUGGGAAUGAAAUGUCACCGUUUGAAACUGGUGAGUCACACUUUUUGAAGCCGGGAGGGGGGGGGAGGGAGGGAGGGAAUAUGAAAUCUUGUGGUGUGGCAGAGCGUCUCCUGGUGAGUACAGAGAGAUUCGGAAAACCACAGGCUCCCCGACGAUGGAGUCGAGGGGCUUGGAAUAAAGGCUGCUGGGUGUGUCCGUGCUGCUUUCUGCAGGAGGAUCUCGAAACCCGCUGCAAACUUCAAUUGUCUUACUUAACAUGCCCGCUGCAGCUGGAUCCCAGCGCCUUCUCCGACAGGACUAGGUCGGAUCUGUCUGACAACGCACCUACAGUGACUCUCUUAAUUAAGUCUCCCUGCACUGCUGUGAGGGCAGCAUUCUGUGUUCCUGCUCCAGCCCACGAGAGCCAGCCACUUCCACACGGCAGCUCUGCCUCGCAGGUGCCAAGAAAUGGGCACCUUGAGCUGAAGUGCCACGGUCAUCCUACUACUGGUGUACUACUCAGCGGUCCCAGGUGUGCUGACUCUAGCUGUGGCUGCCCCAGCCCACUGCCAGAAGGUCUGCAGAGAAUUGAACCAGCAGCACAGCAGCAGGGACACAGGAGUGAGCCAAGGAGCCAGGUAAGAAAAAGGUGCCCCUGCAGGUACCUGGGACACCAUCUCAUCAGACGUUUCAGUUACUGCCAACCAGUAACGAGAUGGGAAUCAGUUCUGAAACAUAAUGACAGUGUUUUAGGGCUUGGUACUGUCUUUUUUACCGUCCUUUUUCUAGGAUAG
rnacentral:lncRNA from 1 species